rnacentral:rRNA from 1 species
GAUGAACGCUGGCGGCGUGCCUAAUACAUGCAAGUCGAGCGAAUGGAUUAAGAGCUUGCUCUUAUGAAGUUAGCGGCGGACGGGUGAGUAACACGUGGGUAACCUGCCCAUAAGACUGGGAUAACUCCGGGAAACCGGGGCUAAUACUGGAUAAUAUUUUGAACUGCAUGGUUCAAAAUUGAAAGGCGGCCUCGGCUGUCACUUAUGGAUGGACCCGCGUCGCAUUAGCUAGUUGGUGAGGUAACGGCUCACCAAGGCGACGAUGCGUAGCCGACCUGAGAGGGUGAUCGGCCACACUGGGACUGAGACACGGCCCAGACGCCUCCGGGAGGCAGCAGUAGGGAAUCUUCCGCAAUGGACGAAAGUCUGACGGAGCAACGCCGCGUGAGUGAUGAAGGCUUUCGGGUCGUAAAACUCUGUUGUUAGGGAAGAACAAGUGCUAGUUGAAUAAGCUGGCACCUUGACGGUACCUAACCAGAAAGCCACGGCUAACUACGUGCCAGCCGCCGCAGUAA